GAUCCUGGCUCAGGACGAACGCUGGCGGCGUGCCUAACACAUGCAAGUCGAACGAAGCACUGUGGAUAGAGACUUCGGUCAAUUGAAGCUUUGACUUAGUGGCGGACGGGUGAGUAACGCGUGAGGAACCUGCCUUUCAGAGGGGGACAACAGUUGGAAACGACUGCUAAUACCGCAUGAAGCAGCGAGAUCGCAUGGUCUUGCUGCCAAAGAUUUAUCGCUGAAAGAUGG
rnacentral:rRNA from 1 species